GACGUAGGGCGCGAGCGUUGUCCGGAUUUAUUGGGCGUAAAGAGCUCGUAGGCGGCUCGUUGCGUCGGCUGUGAAAACCCGCAGCUCAACUGUGGGCUUGCAGCCGAUACGGGCGGGCUUGAGUUCGGUAGGGGAGACUGGAAUUCCUGGUGUAGCGGUGAAAUGCGCAGAUAUCAGGAGGAACACCGGUGGCGAAGGCGGGUCUCUGGGCCGUAACUGACGCUGAGACACGAAAGCGUGGGUAGCAAACAGG
rnacentral:rRNA from 1 species